rnacentral:rRNA from 1 species
CACGUAGGGGGCAAGCGUUGUCCGGAUUUAUUGGGCGUAAAGAGCUCGUAGGCGGUUCGGUAAGUCGGGUGUGAAACCUCCAGGCUCAACCUGGAGACGCCACCCGAUACUGCUGUGACUAGAGUCCGGUAGGGGAGCGUGGAAUUCCUGGUGUAGCGGUGAAAUGCGCAGAUAUCGGGAGGAACACCAGUGGCGAAGGCGACAUCCUGGACCGGUAUUGACGCUGAUGCGCGAAAGCCAGGGGAGCAAACGGG